GUGGCCCUAGGACAGAGGAUGGGCUGGGUCACACUCUCCUCCCUGCCGCCCCUCCCCAGACCCUCCGACCGGCUCUGAGAAGAGGAGGCCGGCCGGAGACCGGCCCGCCCUAACCCUUACCACAUGGUCUGGAUGGAGAUGGGCUUGAAGAUUCGGCUCUGCCCACCGGACGUCACACUGAAGCCCCUGAGGGAGACCAGGUACACCUGGGUGUCACUCCAGAGAGGCAAGACCAGGCCCAGGGUGCAGCUCGGGGAGCUGGCAGGGGACAGAAGAAAAGCCAUCGUUCCCCAGCAUCUCACUUCCUUGCCCCCCUCCCUUCCUCUCCCUGCUCGCACCUGCUGUCGGGGAAAUCCACUCCCAAGAGGACUGUCUCAUCCUGGCUCUGAUGUUCUCUUGUGGAAACUACCAGCAGAUUCCAGAUUGGUAGUGAUAACCCAGUGGCUGCCAACUUUGGGAUUCCAUGGUCCAACAGAAUGUUUAAGAAGAUUUUUCGUAAAGGGGGUAUGUAUGGAAAAAAGGGGAGAAUGGGCCUAGCACCCAUUGCCCAUUUUCAAUUUCUGCCCAGGAAAGAGGUUUAAAACAAAAAAAACAAAAACCUUUUCCACUUGCCAUUACCAUCAUUUGAUUCAAGAAAGGUUUCUCAUCAAAGAAAUACUAAACACAAUCUCAUAACAAAGGACAGUGCUUCCGUGGAAUACAUUCAGCUUUCGGAAAGACUGCCUCCAUUUUGUUUUUCCCAUCUUGCUGCAGACAGUGAGAUGCCCCACAGGCAUCUGGGAACUGGUCCACCGGCUCCCACCUCUGCCCCACCCCGCCUGGCACCC